CCAGAAAAAGGUGGGUGGUGGGGAGGGGAAGAAGGAAGGAGGAAAAGGACUCUGGGGACUUCCCGCCUGCUGCAGGAGUCCCAGGAAAAGGAAGCACUGCCUGUAAGCUGCCCCAGAUGGUGCCAUGAUGUGCUGAGGAGACUGUAGAAUAUGAAUGCCGAAGCCAUCGGGCUGAAGUACCCUGGUGCCUGCAACUGACUCACAUGUCUUGGUCAGUAACUGAUGGAUCCAACUGAAGGAUAUGUGGAUGCUCAAGAGAUUAUUUUUACAAUUUCUCUGUAUAUAUUAAAUUUUUUCAAAAAAAUUUGGAGUCAAUUAACCCAUUAACUUGCUAAAUAACCCUUCAUAACUAUUUGUGGGUUUUCUUCUUAAAAAAGAACCCAUUUCCAGAUUCACAACCAUCAAGUACAAACAAAUAAAAGACUAACACUAACCAGUGAACUCAGGAUUCCUGACCACAGUCAUCAUCUCCACUUCACUCUUGAACCAACUGGAUCUGGCUCAAUCUCUGUGCAGCAAACAUGGUUAAUCAGCUCUUCAAAGCAUCAGACACUAUGUUGUAAGCUGCACUCAUUAAGUUAUAACCUUUCACAUAAAAAUAUUUAAUGAAGUGUACUAAUAUAGUAAGGGAAAAUUAAAGUGAUGUUGUUGAUACUGAGUGAAUUGAUGCUGUUUUAUCAGAGCAUAUGCAUAGGCUCUCUGAGGUGCACAUUUUCCCCAAGUACUUCCUUUUGGAAAGCCUAAAUGUGAACCCAAGUGGCUAUUUUCAUCUGAUUUUACCAAGCAGAGUAAAUAGCUGAGUAAGAUUCCUCAGUUACCCAGACAGGCCAGCCACACAGUGGGACAUAGUGCCAGUCUGCAGAGUCCCAAGUCCAAGGUGCUCUCCAGUAGUGCCUGUUUCUUACUUUCAUUGCGUCCUGUGGUUUGUACAGCUGGGACUUAUUAACCACAGGAAUGUCUUAUCAUUUGCUAUCUUGUGAAGGGUGUUGAUUUUAUGGAGCUGACGUAUGGAGUUUCUAUUAUUUUACCUCCCCAUUCUUCAGGUUACCCUACCAUGGGGAUGCAUAAUGCAAGCUGCCUAGGAGAGAUCUCUCUGACAGAUUGCACAGAGGCCCAAGGGGCCAAAGGACUUGCUCAAUGACCCAGGUUUCAUGUCAGAAGGAGAAUUCUCUGACCAAAAUUGAAAGGGUAACUCCAGUGAAUCAUGGCUCAAGACACUUCUCAGAUUCCAGUUUUAGAAACUGGAGGCAAACAUUUUGUCAGACAAGAAUACAAUCAUUGCUAAAACCCUACAUUGUACAUUUCUAUUCUGUUUCUUCUCAUAUAGUUUUUAAAUAAUUUGUCCAAUUCCUAUUUUUAGUGUUUCAUAUCUUAUUUGAGCAUAUCACAAAAGUAAAGUAUGAAAAAUAAAAGGAGAUAAGAUUAUUUAAAAGGAAGUAAAGUUGUAUAGACAUCAGAUCAAUGUUGAAAAGCCCUGAUAAUUCAGGCCAAAAUAAUCCAGCUGUCAAAUAAUUUAGUUAAUUAUUCCCUGGAUUCAAUAAAUAAGUCAGUCUUAUUCUAUGGCUAUAUUAUAAAUGUUCAUAACCUUACAUCAUAUUCCCAGACAUGCUCCCUACAAAGCUUUAUUUAAAAUGGUGUUCAUCAUAACGGA